CUCAAAUUUCUUACAAUUUACAUACUGGAAUUAACUUUGUUUGGCAAUUUGACGCAGACAAUAAAUCAGUGCUUGUAUGGGAGUUCCUGUUCACCUUUAUACAUUCAAUAGAACUACUGAGAUGGACAUGAUGAGUCAACUCAGAACUUAUUCUUUGUCUUGUAGUUGACCACGUCCAAUAUUGUCUAGAACCUUUGAAGGGACUUGUGUGUCCGACACCAUCAGUCCAAAAAUCCAAUGCUGUA
rnacentral:lncRNA from 1 species